GAAAAUUUAUCAUCAAAUUAAUUUUUGAUGGAUCUUGAGUGCUGCUGUUAUAUAGCUCACUUUAAAUAUAUAAGUCUGCAAAAAUCCAGAUGUUGGAUUGACUUGGUGUAAUACAAUAAAUUUAUUUAUUUUUCAUCAAGGAAAGUAGCAAUAAAUACUUGCCAACAAAUGUUUAUUUUGACUCCUAAAACAGAGAAAACAAUUUU
rnacentral:misc_RNA from 1 species